UAGGAAGCCAGACUACACUGCUUACGUUGCC
rnacentral:piRNA from 1 species